ensembl:lncRNA
GCAGGGUAGCCUAGUGGUUAGAGUGUAGAGGCGGCAGGUAGCCUAGUGGUUAGAGUGUAGAGGUGGCAGGGUAGCCUAGUGGUUAGAGUGUAGAGGCGGCAGGUAGCCUAGUGGUUAGAGUGUAGAGGCGGCAGGGUAGCCUAGUGGUUAGAGUGUAGAGGCGGCAGGUAGCCUAGUGGUUAGAGUGUAGAGGCGGCAGGUAGCCUAGUGGUUAGAGUGUAGAGGCGGCAGGUAGCCUAGUGGUUAGAGUGUAGAGACUGCAGGGUAGCCUAGUGGUUAGAGUGUAGAGGUGGCAGGGUAGCCUAGUGGUUAGAGUGUAGAGGCGGCAGGUAGCCUAGUGGUUAGAGUGUAGAGGCGGCAGGUAGCCUAGUGGUUAGAGUGUAGAGGUGGCAGGGUAGCCUAGUGGUUAGAGUGUAGAGGCGGCAGGUAGCCUAGUGGUUAGAGUGUAGAGGUGGCAGGGUAGCCUAGUGGUUAGAGUGUAGAGGCGGCAGGGUAGCCUAGUGGUUAGAGUGUAGAGGUGGCAGGGUAGCCUAGUGGUUAGAGUGUAGAGGCGGCAGGUAGCCUAGUGGUUAGAGUGUAGAGGCGACAGGUAGCCUAGUGGUUACAGUGUAGAGGCGGCAGGUAGCCUAGUGGUUAGAGCGUUGGGCUAGUAACCAAAAGGUUGCAAGUUCAAAUCCCGAGCUGACAAGGUACAAAUCUGUCGUUCUGCCCCUGAACAGGCAGUUAACCCACUGUUCCUAGCGUGUCAUUGAAAAUAAGAAUUUGUUCUUAACUGACUUGCCUUGUAAAAUAAAUGUUUUUUUUGUUUUGUUUAAUGAGUUUAUUAUUUUUGAAAGCUGUAAUUUGUAUUUAUAAAAUACUUUUCUGUACAAUAUUAUUUAUAGCUGCUCACCAUAUUGUGGCCCCCUUUCACCAUACAUUGGUAUCAGUCUGAUGGCACUAUGGUGUGAAAAGAGCGGCCGC